ACCACACCGGCACACCGACCCCGAUCGACCCCCACCCCACCAAACUCUCUCUCUCUCUCCUCUCAUCCACAGCCGCCGCCGCACUCAUCCGCCCGGAGAUCCCACCGGCCGGCGCCCUCUGCCCUCAUCCCCUCCACCUUCCCCCACCUUCUAUCCAUCUAUAUGCCCCUAGACUAGAUCGAGCAGGCGGGCGCCGUCAGAUCGGGACCGGUCAUGCCCACGGCAGGGCAUCUGGAUCUGCACCGCCGUCGAUCCAGGACGCGACGUUCGGCUCCUUCUCCACAUCCACGCCAAGGGUGACGAGGAGUGAGGGGGCUUCCUCCCCGCGCUCUCUCCCGGCGGUGCUUGGGGCUCCGACGAGCGGAGGCGAGCGGCGACAGGAGAAGCUCCGCGGCGACGCCCUGAUGGCCAUCAGCCAUGGCCGUUAUGGCUUCGCGUGCGCCCGCGAGCGGCUGCGCGUGGCUGGAUGGUGCGCACGCGGCCGCCGACCUUCGCCCUCUAGCGCGCCGCACCCCAGCCCCGCCGCCGGUCCCACCCCCACCGCCGCGCGCUGCCGCCCCUCUCCCUCCCUGACCCCCCAGCGCCGCAGCACCUCCCAUCCCCUUCUCCUUCCCAACCCAGCGGACGGCCAGAGGAGGAGGAGGAGGAGCUGCCUUCUCCCACCCUCCCCUGCAGCAGUGAGCCCUCUACAAUGGAGACGGCGCCAUCUCGCCGUGCACGCCCCCAAUCUGGACGGUGGAGCAGAAGCCCGCGCCCCUCCUCCCCACCACGGCACAUCCUCUCCAGGUCGCCAGAUCCGACUUAUAUCCCUGCCCGCCGUGGUACCACCUGAGAGCGAUUUAGUGCUGACACUCUUGGUUCUAUGGAUUGAAAUAGUCUAGUAUACAGGUACGCAUUAGAAUUUAGUUAUUGGUCAUGGAUUCAUGAUUCUCCCAUGUGUAUUUAAGUUUAGUCAUAGCAAUUUAAGUACAAAAGAACAAAAGAUCUGUAGACUAAAGUUCCUAAAGCAAAAUUGUUAUGGGAUUCAGUUACUAUAUAUACAAGUAAAUGCUUAGUUAAUGAAAAGAAAAGGUUGCUGCAGCGCCUGUCCGAGCAAGUUUUUGGUUGCCUGUGCCACCAAUAUACACACAACUUUUGGUUGUUAAAGCAAAACUAUUAUGGGAUUAAGUUACUACAAGUAAAUUUUAAGUUAACUACACGCAAGACUGCUUUUUUUGGUUGCCUGCCGACCAAAUUUUGAGAGAUAGACUCAUUAUAGUGAAUUGGCAAGAAAAGGUUUGCAAGUAUUGAUCAUGCAGGUAGUUGCUGGUGGUUGUGUUGUAGCAGCUGCAUUAUCUAUGUUCCUGGAGAAUCUUGAUAAAACUCUUGGAUCCAAGGAACAAAUGGUGAUUGCUGAAUUUGCUGUCUUUGUUCAUCAUACCAAAAGUUUGAUCAGUUAUACUUUUGUAUGUAUGGUACUUGCAUCCUGAACCACAUGGUUUACUAAUGGGAGUGUGGCUGUGUGAUGACAAGUCCUCUCUAUUUUUUUAGUUUUCAUGAUUAGUAAAAUCCUUGCAGCCGGUAGUCUUUGAAAGAUUUUGCCCCUGUAAUAUCUACAAUGCUGAUUCUAGAUUGCUCUGCUAAGAGUUCAGUUGAGCAUGGCUUGGGUGCUGAUCUUGUUUGUCAUUGAUGCGUGCUAAACAGUAACUGAACCUGUUAAAUUUUGUAAGGAUGCAAAAACAUGUGGACACAUAUAUCUACUAUCUUAUACUAUUGUUGGUACUUUGAGGCCUCACAGUGUGGUUCAUGUCUAGCAUACAUCGCUCUAUGUGAAUUUCUCGUCAAUAUAGAAUGUUUGGCGAUAUAAUCAGGUUUCUUGCUUGCGAUAUAUCAUGUUUCUCGCUUUCUAAAAUGAACCUUGGUGGUCUCAGAAUAUUGUCAUGCGAAUGUCAUCAGUGAUAGAGGCAAUCUUCACAUGAUAAUAUUUCUUGCUGUUGUAUAUAGGCUUGUAGGCAUUUUGUUGUGGCAUAUAUGCUUCUAUAUUGAAGUGCGUAUGAAACAUGAAAUUAUUUCAUUGUCUAGAUAAAAGCUUUUGGCUAUAAUGUGAUUGACAGAUAUGACUAUUGAUUUGAAGUCAUAGUGUCAAUAUUGCACUUUCAACUUUAUGGAUAAAUAUAAUACAGUCUACAGUGUCAACUGCAUCUGCUAUACAUGUCCAUGCACUCCCCUUACUUUGCUGAAUAUGUGCACGAAGAGAAUUUCAAUAUCUUGUGUAAGCCAACUGCGAAGAUUUCGAUUGGUGCAUGAAUAUUCUGUGCAACACAAAGAGCUUAUAUGCAAGGAAGGCGCUCCAACUCAGCCAGCUCCAGCGACGGACCAUUUGGAAACGAAUCUUCACCUUCGUAUCCGCCUCUAGAGCCAACAACAACAACACCAGCAACGGGAACAAUACUGCUGUCAUGCAGCCGGCGGCGAACAGUGGCGGAUCAUCAAGAACAGGGAGUCCAUGGCAUGGUCGUGGGCGCAAAAGCAGGCUUACUCAAACCAGUUGGAUAUGGAAUUGGCCCAGCUGCGCAGGGAGAACCAGAUGCUCAUCCAGCGGCACAGGGAUCUCAUAAACAAAUCUUGGGUUCAUAAAUGGGAGAAGCACAUAAGGGAGAAGAAGAUGAUUGCAAGGAUGGAGAGGGAGCAAAUCAUUUGGAGGGAUAGAAUCCCACUGUUUGGUGUUUUUAUGCAUUUUUGUUUGCUUUCAACUGUGUUUGCACUAGCUUGGAAUAAGUGACUAGGCAAUAAGUGUAGAUGUAUGGGUAUGCUCUAAUGCUCCUGGUUUACUAUAAAUCUUCGAUUUGGAAUGAUGUGUAAUGCUGCUGGUUUAUUACAAAUCUGGGCUUGUUUUAGUUUUUAGAA